GACGAACGCUGGCGGCGUGCUUAACACAUGCAAGUCGAACGGAAAGGCCUCUUUCGGGGGGUUCUCGCGUGGCGAACGGGUGAGUAACACGUGAGUAACCUGCCCUUGACUUUGGGAUAACUUCAGGAAACUGGGGCUAAUACCUGAUAGGAGCUCCUGCUGCAUGGUGGGGGUUGGAAAGUUUCGGCGGUUAGGGAUGGAUUCGCGGGUUAUCCGCUUGUUGGUGGGGUAGUGGCUUACCAAGGCGUUGACGGGUAGCCGGCCAGAGAGGGUGAGAGGCCACAUUGAGACUGAGAGAAGGCACAGAUUGCGAAGGGAGGGAGAAGGGGGGAAGAUUGAACAAUGGGUGGAAGCCGGAUGAAGAAAGGCCGUGGGCGGGAUGACGGCCUUCGGGUUGUAAACCGCUUGCGCUAAUGACGAAGCUUUGUGUGACGGUAGUGGGUAAAGAAGCAACGGCUAACUACGUG
rnacentral:rRNA from 1 species